rnacentral:lncRNA from 1 species
UGUAACUGAACAGUGAAAGUUGCAGUUUGUAUUUACUUUCAACUGAUAAAUGUCGAGGGGAAGAUCUGAUGGAUCACAAAAAAAGCGUUUAGUUGCUUCCAUCUGCGUUGUGGCAACUUUUCUUGGUUUCCUGUAUGUGUAUGGCGGGUCUAUCUUUGGUUCUCAAAAUAGUGGUUCAUCUACUCUUGAAUAUGGCAGAUCAUUGAAAAGACUUGGCUCAUCAUAUUUGGGUGCAGAAGAUGACACUGAUGGCAAGCAAGAUGAAUCUUCAUCAAGUUUCAGGCAGGGAGAUGGGGAGGACAAUAUUGUUCCAAAGAGUUUCCCUGUAUGUUUCUUAGUUAGCUUAGACAUAGGGCACAUUCACUCUUUCUUCACAGCUUCAUGCAACAUCCUUAUAAUUGCUAUAAUCUUUAAUAUUUUGUUUUUGCUAUUGCUAUUUGGUUUAGUUAGUUCUAUUAAUAAUAAUGAACUCUCUUAUAUACUGUUUGAUUUGAAUUCAGGUUGACAAACUCUUUAAGCUCAAGUAUAUUAGUUUGGUAAAUUAUACACAUUAAUGUGAAUUAUGUAAGAUGCUUAAAAUGUAUUAUACAUGGAAUAGUAAGAGUUGAAGAAAACUAAUUCCUUAUCCACAUACACAGUAAUAUCCAAAUCAAGCAACAAGUAUUGUUUGCACAAUGAAAAUAAAAUUCUUAGUUUCAUAGAUGAAUAAGUAGACACAAUCAAGUUCAUGGGCAUCAUCUAAAUAUGGCUAUACUUUUGGCUCAUCAGCAGUCUCAUGGUGUUUACAAUGUUUAUGUUUUUGAAGGUCUGUGAUGAUCGUCAUUCAGAGUUGAUUCCCUGCUUAGAUAGACAUCUUAUCUAUCAAAUGAGGAUGAAGCUGGACCUGUCUGUGAUGGAGCACUAUGAGAGACAUUGUCCUCCUGCAGAAAGGCGGUACAAUUGCUUGAUUCCUCCUCCAUCUGGAUACAAGGU